rnacentral:lncRNA from 1 species
AAGCAGAGCUCAGUGCCAAAGCCUGGGUGUGCAAAGAAAGGCGCUGGCUCCAGCCGAAUUCCCAGAAGGCAGAUGCUAGAAUCUGCAGCCCCGGCGGAAAGCACAAGCGUGGCCGGGAGGGUUGCUCCGUGCACCUGUGGUAUAGAGUGCGCUCACAGAAGCAGAGCCCCAGUCUACAGCAUGGCCACGUUUUAGUCUCUGUUGAGAAAUGUUGCUAGCAGGACCUGGACUGUUCGGAUUUCUCUGCUGAGGCUCCCAGCUCCAGGCUAAGUGAGUGCCUCAGUCAUCCAGAUAUUGGCUAGAUGUGUUAUAUACCAAGAACUGCACCCAGGGUGGAGAUGGAAAAGACACCAGGUAUCCUUGUGCUGUGUGGGUCAUCCCCCCAACCACGACGUUGGAAGACAGAUAGCCCAGGCUAGCUCCCAAUACACCAUGUAGCCAAAGAUGACCUUGAACUUCUGAUUUUCCAUCCACCGUCUUCUGACUACUGGGAUUACAGUCAUUCUAGAAUCAGACAUGCAGCCUUACGCCUGGCUUUACGUGGCGUUGGACCCUGGGAGUUCAUG